rnacentral:rRNA from 1 species
UUGGUGUGAAUUGCAGAAUCCCGUGAACCAUCGAGUCUUUGAACGCAAGUUGCGCCCGAGGGAUCAUCCUGAGGGCACGCCUGCCUCAUGGGCGU